UACGAAGGGGGCUAGCGUUGUUCGGAAUUACUGGGCGUAAAGCGUGCGCAGGCGGCUUCUCAAGUCAGGGGUGAAAGCCCAGAGCUCAACUCUGGAAUUGCCUUUGAGACUGAGUGGCUUGAGUACGAGAGAGGUGAGUGGAAUUCCCAGUGUAGAGGUGAAAUUCGUAGAUAUUGGGAAGAACACCGGUGGCGAAGGCGGCUCACUGGCUCGUAACUGACGCUAAUGCACGACAGCGUGGGGAUCAAACAGG
rnacentral:rRNA from 1 species